UGCGUAGGCGGGCUAUUAAGUCAGUGGUGAAAGGUAUCAGCUUAACUGAUGACGUGCCAUUGAAACUGAUAGGCUUGAGUACAGACGAGGUAGGCGGAAUUUAUGGUGUAGCGGUGAAAUGCAUAGAUACCAUAAAGAACACCAAUUGCGAAGGCAGCUUACUAGACUGAGACUGACGCUGAGGCACGAAAGCGUGGGGAGCGAACAGGAUUAGAUACCCUGGUAGUCC
rnacentral:rRNA from 1 species